rnacentral:rRNA from 1 species
CCGUAGCCCAAGAGAUCGGGAUAACACCUGGAAACAGAUGCUAAUACCGGAUAACAACAGAUGAUGCCUAUCAACUGUUUAAAAGAUGGUUCUGCUAUCACUCUUGGAUGGACCUGCGGUGCAUUAGCUAGUUGGUAAGGCAACGGCUUACCAAGGCAAUGAUGCAUAGCCGAGUUGAGAGACUGAUCGGCCACAUUGGGACUGAGACACGGCCCAAACUCCUACGGGAGGCAGCAGUG